UUCAUUAAUUUCAGAGGAAUUUCAUAGACUUUUGGGACUUUGAAGACUUUGGAACACUGAAUAAAAACGUGCAGAAUUGUGUGAUCUCCACAAGAAUCAAAGCCAUGGACAAUAUGAGAUUGGAUCUAUUUUGUAAGAAAAAAAUCGAAGGAUGGAUCAGGCACAACAUUGAGUAUUUCGGCAUGGAGUACGGACUAUGACUUCAUUCUUUUGCUUUCACUGCUCAUUAUUAGAAUUGCAUAUGAAACUAAUUAUUUUUGUUCAAGAACAACCGAAGUCUUGAAAAGGAAAGCUUCUAAUAUUAAAAAUAAAAUUUAAAAAAAUGUAUUAUUUAUGUUCGCAUGUUUUGUAAUUCCUUCGUCUACAACGUAAGAAAAUAAACAUAUUCUUAAAAUUG